rnacentral:tRNA from 1 species
UUAUGCUCUAGUAUAGGAUGUAUAAAAAUUUUUGGAAUUUUAGGAGAUAAUUUAAAUUUAUCGAGCGUAAUG